rnacentral:rRNA from 1 species
GACGAACGCUGGCGGCGUGCUUAACACAUGCAAGUCGAACGAGUGGCGAACGGGUGAGUAAUACGUGAGUAACCUGCCCUCUUUUUGGGAUAAGCCUUGGAACCGGGGUCUCAUACCGGUUAAAGGGGGAUGGGCUCGCGGCCUAUCAGGUUGUUGGUGGGGUGACGGCCUACCAAGGCGGUGCCGGGUAGCCGGCCUGAGAGGGUAACCUGGAACGUAGGGACUGCGGUACGGCCCAGAGUCGUAAGGGAUGCAGCAGUUGGGGAUGUGGCACAAUGGGCGAAAGCCUGAUGCGGCGACGCUGCGUGGGGGAUGCAGGCUUUCGGAUUGUAAACCUCUUUCGCUAUCGAACGGGUAGGUGGAGAAGAAGCGCCGGCUAACUACGUGCCAGCCGCCGCGGUAAUAC